rnacentral:rRNA from 1 species
GACAGAGGUGCCAAGCGUUAGGCGGAAUCACUGGGCUUAAAGCGCGUGUAGGUGGCGGCCUAAGUACCUUGUGAAAUCCUGCGGCUCAACCGCAGAACUGCUUGGUAUACUGGGUCGCUUGAGCCAUCCAGGGGCAACUGGAGCAAGCGGUGGAGCGGUGAAAUGCGUAGAUAUCGCUUGGAACGCCAAAGGUGAAAACAGGUUGCUGGGGAUGCGCUGACACUGAGACGCGAAAGCCAGGGGAGCGAACGGG